GCUGCUGAUCAUGGAGAGCCUGGCCAGUGCAAACACCAGCUUCGCUCUGGACCUCUUUAAGAAGCUCAGUAAUGACAGAAAAGCUGAGAACAUCUUCUACUCCCCCCUGAGCAUCUCCUCCGCUCUGGCCAUGGUGUAUCUGGGGGCUCGGGGGAACACAGCCUCUGAGAUGGCACAGUCCGUCUGCUUUAACAAAUCUAAGGAUGAUGUGCACUCUGGAUUCAGCACGCUGAUCUCUGACAUCAACAAACAGGGCGCUCCCUAUAAAUUGUGUUUGGCUAAUCGUCUGUAUGGAGAGAAAUCAUUUGACUUUGUCAAGGAAUUCAUUCAGGACACCAAGAAGUUCUACCAGGCUGAGCUGGAAGCUGUUGAUUUUGUAACUGCAUCAGAGGCAGCCAGACAGAACAUCAACUCCUGGGUGCAGAGCCAGACACAGGACAAAAUCCAGAACUUGUUGGCUGAAGGGACUGUUGAUGCUCUGACCAGACUUGUCCUGGUGAAUGCCAUCUAUUUCAAAGGAAACUGGGCGAAGAAGUUCAGCGAGAGUGAAACAAGAGAAAGGGCUUUCCGACUGAGCAAGAAUGUAACGAAGCCUGUGCAGAUGAUGCAACAGAAAGCCGAGUUUAACCUCACAUUCAUUCCUGAAGUGAACAGUCAGAUUAUAGAGCUCCCAUAUGUUGGCAAUGAGCUGAGCAUGCUCAUCAUCUUACCUAUGGGCAUUGAAGACAAUUCCACUGGACUGGAGAAGCUUGAAAGGGAGCUCACCUUUGAAAAUCUCAUGGAGUGGACUAAGCCAGAAAUGAUGGGCAACACUGAGGUGACCGUGACUCUGCCAAAAUUCAAGCUGGAGGAGACCUAUGAUCUCAAGUCAGUUCUGACCAGCUUGGGCAUGGUAGAUGCCUUUGAUGUUGGGAAGUCUGAUUUCUCUGGCAUGUCGUCCAAUAAUGAGCUGGUGCUGUCGAAGGUGGUUCACAAGUCCUUUGUGGAGGUGAAUGAGGAGGGCACAGAGGCAGCAGGUGCCACCGGGGCCAUCAUGAUGCUGGAAUGUGCGAGGAUCCCUGUACACUUCAAUGCUGACCACCCAUUCCUUUUCUUCAUUAGGCACAACAAAACCCGCAACAUCCUCUUCUAUGGCAAGUUCAGCUCUCCUUAAGUCUGCACUUCUGUAGAGUUGGUCAGCCUUGUAUACAAGUGCUCUGAUUUUUGCCUUCCACCCUUAUAUCUUAUCACACAAUAUAUAAAACCCAUAAUGAGGUGUUCUUUAUAAGGAAAGGGUAUUUAAAACGCUUCGCUGAGUUGCAUAGCUCCUUUUUGUUUAUUUCUUACAAAACUACUGCAGUGUUUAGGGAUGAUGGAGCAACAUUUUACUGGACUGCAUAUCUCUGUUUUAUAACCACAGUGUGUAAUCUUCACUAGUUCUGCUCACAGUUGUAAUAAACAAACAAGGCUUUGAACAUGCAUUACAUUCUUACACGUCCUUUCUUUCACUGUUGAUAUUUAUUUUUCCAGAUUUUAUUUUCACUUAUGUAUUAGAAGUCAGCAGUGGCCCUAUCUAUUACAAAAAAGUACUAUAAUAUUACAAUAAAAACACUAUAGUAAUGUACUAUAUUGAAAUGCCAAUGCUAUAGUACUGUACUACAGUAGUACUAUAGUUCUGCACUACAGCACUGUACUCUAAUACCUCGUUUCCAUAGUCAAGCCAACUUGCGUGCACUCAAGUGCUCCCGGGUUAGCCUGAAUUUUCCAAAACUCGAGUUAUUACGUGAGCUGGACAAGUCUCACUCAUGUUAUCGCGAGAGGUGGCCAGAUAGUAACCAGGUAACCAGAUUAUUGUAUCAUCGUUAUUGACAUUGUAACAUUGUUAUCAUCAAACACGGCAAUGGAUACUUUUCAAGAAAAUUCACUGCAGACUGUCUUGUGAUAUUGGAUGGUGUCCUAAAAUCGCAUCUCAAAUCUGUCUUAAUAGUGGAAUGUUUUGAGAUUGUUUCCGCGUUAGUUAUUGUGGUCCUUGAUUUUUCUGUAUUCCGAUUUUAAUUUUUUCCCUACAUUGGAGCGCAUUCCUACUCAGAUCAAAAGAAAGUAGAACUUUAAACACUUUUUGAUUUUGAAAAGAUCCUUGAAGCUGACUUUGAAUGACCCGAUCUCCCCAAACAAUAAUCAGUGAUCAUGUUUCAUCAUGAUUCCACAGUGCAUAAUGUGCGGUCAUGUUAAAUGUUUUUGGGUUGUUAAAUUACAGGUAAGCUAUUAUUUUGUUUUUUCUAACCGUAAUUUGCAACCGACACUGGCUUUCAUAGAGAUUGUUGCUAAGAUCUGGGAUUCCAUUAUUAGUGACGUAUUUUCUGCUCAGCCUGCAUAGUGAAAUGGUACCAAAGAACUCAGGUAUGUGCCCAAAUUGGAGGCUAACUCGAGUUUUACAAAAACAUGGAAACGCAGUAUUGGGGUGGGGGGGCAAUUAGGGUGUGUACUCGAGUUGGCUUGAAUAUGGAAAGGAGGUAAAAUACAGUAGUACAGCUAUAAUGUAAUACAGUACAAGAAGUCAAAUAUAGUAGCCCAAUGGUAAUACUAGUAGUAAGCUAUACUUAACAGUGCUACAUUUUCCUAAUCAUUUAUUAAGAAUAAAACCCCCAAAAAUGCUCCAAGAUGUUUUAUUUGUGUACAGAAUGUAUGUUACGUAGCAGUUUAGUUCAUCACUAAUGUGGCAUGUCUUCUGGCAAGAAGUUUUUCUUAUUAAGUUUAGUUGCAAUAGCUCAGUUAACUUUUUUUAUUUGCAUCCCAAAAAAAUACAACAAAAAUACAACUACAACAGCACAAUAUUCUCUGCAAUUAUUAUUAAUUUUUAAAUCGGUCUAUUUUUCUGCAUCUCUUUGUCAACGACCGAGGGAGAGUCACACCAGUCUCUAGUGUUAGAGGGAGACCACCUCUGCCGCCAGGGGGAUACUGCCCCCUGUUCCUGCCUCUGCCACCAGAGGGAGACUACCUGUUGCUUCCGCAUCCACCACCAGAGGAGCUGGACCUACCUCCCGAGGGUCGACUCCUGCCCUGUCCUGCACUGCCUGGGGCUGCCGAGGCUGGCUGCUGACCAUGCAUAGAGAAACCCUGUGCAGAAUGUGGUCAAGGGAUAAACUAGGUAAUUGAUAACCAGUUAAUCCCUUGACCACAAUAUAAAAACCAGCAGCUUCUGAUGAUCGAGGUUGGGUUUACAGAGAGGACCUGACUGAUACAAGCAGCUGUGUGGACUGAGCGCCAUCUUGAGACUCUGAUCGAUGGACAAGAAGAACACAUUGAAGCAUAUAAGUGAACUAUGGCACAAAACACAGACCAGGGAAAUGGGUUCCAAUCUACAGAUCCCCUCUUCUGAAAGAGAAUGCCUUUCUUUUGGGUAAAGCAAAGGAAAAGAUAAUGCCUCUGGCUUCUAGACUACUUAGGCCUUCUCUACAGGCUAUUUGUUUGACUCACUUUUAAGACAGGGUGUGGCGGAGUGUCCCGCCCCUAUAUUUAUAUGUGCACUGUGUUUUUAUGAUUUGUAUUAUUGUUUGUGGCGCAGAUAAAAGUGCUGCGUAUUUGUUAUUGUUUUUUAUAGUUUAAAAACCUCGUGAGGAUGCGUGAUUGAUCAGCUAGUGAUUUAUUUAGCUGGCUGACAGUCACGCAUCCUUAUUAAACUUGUGCAGACGGUGACCAUCUCCCAAGUUAAUUCAUUGAUUAAUUGUUGCUAAUCGGGAGAUGGUCACUGUAUAUAAAUUGCAGCUCUCUACCCUCAGGGGAGAGUGUAUAGGAGUCAGAGUGGAGAGAGUGAGGUGAGAGAAAACAAAACCUAAAAACAACUGCUAAACAUUAUUUGUUUAUUUGUUUGGCCAACAUGCCCUUUUGUUUUGUUGUCUGUUUAAACCUUUUUGUUUGUUUUGUUUAUUUAAUAAAUACGCUGAGCACCAUUGCGUUCAGCUUCACCAUCGCCA